GAUCUUCAGAUGUUUGGUGGGCACCC
rnacentral:piRNA from 1 species